rnacentral:miRNA from 1 species
AUCUGUAAAUUUUUAGAAAAUUUAAAAAUCAUUUGAUAUUUCAUUUUAUUAAUUCAAAUUGACGGAUAAUCAUAAAAUCAUUUUAUAUAUUGAUUUGAAUUAAUAAAACGAAGUAUCAAAUGAUUUUCAAAUUUUCUAAAAAUUUGUAGAU